AAUUUGAUAAUCCGCAAAAAACCUUACCACAGCUUGAAUAUUUAUAUUUUAAUAUAUUUACAAGCGUUGCACGGCUGUCUUCAGUUAAUGUCGUGAGACUUUGGUUAGAUCCAUUAAAUUAACGUAAGCCCUUACUUUAUUUACAAAUAAAGUAGUUCCCCACUAUAUUGGAUAUGAUAACAGGGACUAAGACAAGUCAUCAUGGCCUGAAUGCUGU
rnacentral:rRNA from 1 species